AAUAGGCAAGAGCACCGCCCUGUCAAGGCGGACGUUGCGGGUUCGAGCCCCGUCAGUCCCG
rnacentral:tRNA from 1 species